AUAUGACUUCAUCAUAAUUAUAGUCAAUAUAGGUUCUGGGACACUCAUUAACAGCCUCUUUUGCUUCUAAACUACAGUUUUUCUCAACACUUUUUUUUACUCUUUUUGUAGCUGAGAGCCUAAUACUGAUAUUGACACAUGGUGACAUGUUAUCAAACUGAGGUGAUAAAGCAAUUGUGGCAGAGUGCUUGCUGGAAGAAUACAAAACUAUCUGAAGAAAAUCAAAAUGGCAACAAUGGAAAGAAAUCUCAGCCUAUUGAUUUGUCAUCAUCUGAAGAUAAUAAUGUGAUCAGAGAAGCUAUAACAACUAAAAUGAUUGGUACAAAAGUUCAUAAGAAGCGAACAAGAUGGCAAAGUUGUACUUUUAGGGGGUGUUUGGUAUGGGGUAAAGUAAAUGUGGGAAUGAGAAUCUAAAACCCUUUCUAUGUUUGGUUCAAAUUUUAAGAGGGUAAAUGUAAUAAUUUGCGUGGGUCCCAUAUGUAUUUUAAGAGGAUGUUUGGUAUGAGGUUUAAGUUUGGGGGAGUAGAGUUAGAGAGGGUUUAGAUUAAGGGAAUGUGAAACUCAAGUGUUUAAAGGGGUUAAGAUUACCCUCAAAUCAAGCUAAAAAAAUAGGACUCACUUGGAAACACAAACCUCCAAGCCAUUAAAAAUAAAUUUACCAAAUAUGGGUUAGAUUUGACAUUCUCAUUCCCACCAAACCAAAUCCCCAUACCAAGAGUUUAAUAUUUACUUCCAUCCUAAGUCCCUCUUCACUUUCCAAGGCAACUCAAUUACUCAAAACAAACACCCCAUUAGUGACAAUGAUGAGGAGUUCAAAACCACAUCAAGUGAAAAACAAGAAGGGCCACAGUCAAAGAGAUCACCAAGUGGUAUAGUCAUCGAAAAGAGCCAUCGCGAUAGGUCGAAAAGGAAGAGGUCAUAUCUUGUCUGGACUCCUGAGCUCCAUAACAAGUUCACAGAAGCAAUCAGCUUGUUAGGAGAUGAAAAAGCUCAGCCUAAAACAAUCCAAAAAGAGAUGGUAGCUCCACAAUUAACAAGACACUAGAGAUAAAGUAUAAAAGCAGAUACAAGAAAACGACACAAGUCUACCCUUAGGCGAAUCAAGUGUUGAUGGUUCUAGAUCUCAAUUUUCACAACUUGAGAGGCAGCAGAGUUCAAUGGCUUACCAACAUGGAAGAGAAGGCUUGAACUUUGAACCAUUUUCGCUGACUCAAUCGAGUGGGAAUGGUCAAGGCAGAGCCUCUCGAAUUAGAUGGUGGCAGGGUUCAAAUUUGGAUUUUGGCUUCAAUUCUAAUCAAUAUAAAAAUCAACCAUCACAAGAAGUGGCUUGGACAGCUGAUGUUCCCAGUCAAACAUUAAAGACAAGCUUCAGUGAUGGAAGCCAAAAUGUAGAUACUGUUGUGAACCAGGCAACUAAACUAAAGCUACAGAUGGUUCAUUAGAACAGAAUCAACCUCCAUCGGAAUAUGUUGAUGAUAAUAAUAUACUGAGAAUU